UUUUGCACAAGCUUUGAACCCUGUGGUUUUUAGUCAGGUGCGACUAAUGUAUGAACAAAACAGGAGUUUCCCUAAUUUUAGCUUGUGCGGCUAAUAUUCAGGUGCGCUUUGUAGUCCGGAUGUAAGGAGUAAAUAUUUAAACAAGACAUUCUUCAGGCGAAAUAAAGACACUCAAGACAGUUUAGAUGGUAACAACGUGCGCACGCUGGGUGAGUGCUGCUGUCUCAGGCUCACAACCAGCAUUUGUGGCAGUUCUUUAUUUAUAGCGUUUCAGAGUAUGUGUGUGUGUGUGAAGUUUAUGAUCUCAGAGUGUGUGUGUGUGAUUCUGAAGAAUGGGCCCCUCUUUGUAUUUGGGAGUGUAUAGAUAAGAACGUCCUGCUCUCCCCUUCCUGGGAGUGAAACGGCUCGUAGAGAAUCAGGUACAGAGGAAAUAUACUGGGUGAAUCAUAUCUGAGAACACUAUGCUUUUGUCUUUCAUUUAAGCUUCACUUCAGCGAAACAGUAAAACCAUAAAAUACGAUUAAAUGGAAAGAAUAAAUGGGUAAACAACUAUUAACACUAAAAUUAAAGAUAAACUUUCAAUAACGUACAAAUGGCAGUGGGAAUAAUACUUGAAACAUUUGAAAAUCUCUUGACAUAUCCCUCCUGUUGUUAAUUUGUUUUUACACAUUUUAACUUUUAUCAGCAUACAGUCUCUGGACAGUGCAUUUUUAACUGUUGCUUCAUUAUUAACAGGAGUGUCUUUUUUCUUUUAGUUACAGGUUGUUUCUUCAUCUUCGUCGUCGGUGUUUGAGUCAGUGUCGGCGUGCUCCAGCAGUGUCAUAAUUUCUUUUUGGCCGACAGGGUCCGGUGUAAUAGCUGUGGCUAUCAGUCUGUUGCUCAUGGAUCUUAUGCAGGGAAUACAACAACAGCCACAUAGGGUCAAUAUGGCUGCAAAAACAGCUAUUGACACUAGGAUUGAUGACACUAGGCUGCGGUACUUUCCAAACACGUCCAUCCAGCUGUCCCACAUGGAAGUGUCCACUCCAGAAUGUUCUUUCAUUUUCUCGUUCAGGGUCUUCAGUCUUUCCAGGGCUCUGGUCAGACUGCCGUCAGCUGCAGUGUUGUUAGGUAUGAAGGUGCAGCAUUGUUCUCCACUUCUUUGUUUCUCGUUGCGCUGCGCGUUCUUCUGGGCAUAGGCUGCAGCUUAAAAAUGGUUCCCCUUUCAGGACACGUCACAUUUGGAGCCUGCCGGUAAAUCCUCGGGCAGUGUGGGUCACAUGGGUUGCUGGUGCAGGCCGUGUUCAUGCCUACCAGGGCCAGUGAUAAGAAUAUUGUGAACACGAGCAUGGAACACAUUGUUGUGACAGUGGUCAGUUGGCAUCCUCUUGUCCAGCAUCGACGUCGUCUGUGCGGUCUCUCACCCUCAGGGGCAUCCUGGUUUGCAUUUAGUAUUUCCAUCUCCAUCAGGUCUCCCUCUGUGAGCGUUUCUCCUCUUCUUGACCGUGGACACACCCUUGGCCUCCAAUGAGUAGACACCCAGCAAGAGGAGCGAGUGUCUCAGUGUUGCCACUGAUAGCCCUUCUCCCCACCAGUGAACACCAGAGGUUAGAGCGGUCUGCAGUCUAGACUUUACUGCUCACUUUUCUAUUCGGGAGAUUGUGGUUCUUGGAUUGGUUCAACCCUUUUUCAACCUGCAAGAAACUGGAAGAGAAUCACUCGGCAGUUGAUUGUUCAAAACUAUUUCUCUGUUUUCCAGCAACUUUGUCAUCCACUCUGCUAGAGUUGUUUCUCUUAUUGACUUGUUUGAAAUUUAAUGUAUAGAAGUGUCUUUAACUAGUGUUUUUAACUAAUUAGACUCCCUCCUGUUGACGCA